AUUUUUGUUUGUUUGUUUUGUUUUUUCGAGACAGGGUUUCUCUGUGUAGCCCUGGCUGUCCUGGAACUCACUUUGUAGACCAGGCUGGCCUCGAACUCAGAAAUCCGCCUGCCUCUGCCUCCUGAGUGCUGGGAUUGAAGGCGUGUGCCACCACGCCCGACAUAUUUUUAAUUUUUAAUGGUGCGUGUAUGUGUGUGUGGACACACACACACAUACACACAAUCGAGCAAGUGCAUAUGAGUACAGGUGUCCAGAGAGUCCAGAAGAAGGCCUGGCUUCGCUGGAACAGGAGUUAAAAGCUGGGUACUGGGAACUGGACCUCACUCUCAGCAAGAGCAGUAUGUGCUUCUGACCAUUGAGACAUGUCUUUAGCUCUACCUGCUUGCUUUUCAAAAGGGUCUCAGGCUGGCCUCACACUCUCUAUGUAACUGAGGCUGCCUUGGAACUCCUGAUCCUUCCUGCCUUCCAAGAGCUGGGAUUACAAGGUAUGCGGAAACCAUGCCAGGCUUUGACCCACAUUUGGUUCCUGUGACUGCAACAUUAAAAAGUAAUUGUAGGCUAAUGGGCAUUUGGGUGUGGAUGCUUUCAUAACAACACUAUUAACUUUAUGGUUCAAUUUCUUCAGUGAUUAGCUGGAUACUGGGGUGGGGGUGGGGGGCAGCUGAAAGAGUUCAUUUAAGACCCUCGGGGGGAAAAGGAGAGGAAACUUGCAGAUAAGAAAUAUGGAUCGAGCACGGUAUCUACUCAUUCCCAUGGAAGACAAUAGCUCAGUCUACAAGUGGACAAGGGUUUAGGACCGAGAAAGAAUGUUGUGCAGGAGACCUCACAUUCUCUGCUGAGAAACGGAACUACACUGCCAAGGCCUUUGAGUCUUAUGUAAUGAGGAAAACUUGGCAGAGUAGGAGAAAGGGCGACUUCAGAAGGAGUGUUCUGAAGAAAUUCGGGUAAAAGACCAUUAGAGCCUAGGUUUAUGUGGAAGAACCUGGACACCAUCGUUCACACUCAUCUUCCCGGUAACUGUGCAUUUAGGGAAGUGAAGAUUGCCACUUCGCUGGUAGCUGCUAGGAAACACUUCCCUUCUCUUAGAUCUCAAGGUAACAAUAGCCCACCAGGAGGCUAGACUACCUUGCUUGAAAAAUAGUGUGCCCUAGAGGAGGGCAUGUGAGCUUUCUCCAGGGGAAUUUUCAAAACUACCCUGAGUCCUGGCACAGGAGGGAAGCAGGCCUGCUCACAGACUUGCUCAGGGCCGGUCACACAUUUCCAUUUUUAGGUUAAAUAUGUCUUCGUAGGUUUAGCACAGCAGGGUGUCCAUCAGACUAGUCUUACGCGGUUGUAGGCAUUUAAGGUCACCCGCCCCUUUCUGUCUAGGUGCACCGAUUGGAUUUAAAAAGUCAGGCGGACUCCGGGCAGGUCCAGCUGCUUACAGCGGGGGGGGGGGGGGGGGGGGGGGGGGGCAGCGCAGUGAGCCGGGUAUGGGCGUGGCAGCUGAGGUGAGCGCUCGGCUGGGGCAGGGCGGGGUCCGCGCCAACAGGGCGAAGGCGAGCGCGGGGCGCGCUCCCGGAAACCUCGUGCACGAGCCGCGGCACCGCCCGCCCCCGCCCCGCCCCGGUCAGCUGGGUUCCGCGUCCAGCCGGCUGCGGAGCAUCCCGGGCGGCGCGAACGGCCCAGCCAUGUCCGCAGCCAUGAGGGAGAGGUUCGACCGGUUCCUGCACGAGAAGAACUGCAUGACUGAUCUCCUCGCCAAGCUCGAGGCCAAGACCGGAGUGAACCGGAGCUUCAUCGCGCUCGGUGUCAUCGGACUGGUGGCUUUGUAUCUGGUGUUCGGUUAUGGAGCCUCUCUCCUCUGCAACCUGAUAGGUUUCGGAUACCCAGCCUACAUCUCUGUGGCUUCCUGCUGUGGUGCAUGGCCCCCAGCCCGGCUAAUGGGGCUGAGAUGCUCUACAGGCGAAUCAUCCGUCCUAUCUUCCUCAAGCACGAGUCCCAGGUAGACAGUGUGGUGAAGGACGUGAAGGACAAAGCCAAAGAGACUGCAGAUGCCAUCAGCAAAGAAGUCAAGAAAGCUACAGUGAACUUGCUGGGCGAUGAGAAGAAGAGCACCUGAGGCCUGGCCGGGCGCCCCUCCCCCCCCACCCCCUGGAGCUCUGUGUCAUGCUAGGGACAGUGGCACAGUCGUUGGAUAAUGUUGCCUUGGAAACUUCCCGCUGUAUUAAAAAUGGAAUGUGUUGUAAGCUGCUUUGCCUUUGUUGUCGUAUAUGUAGAAAGCAUUUUCAUUUAAACCUAACAGAGUGGGCAGUACCUCAAGUGUUUAAAAUAUUUUGCUGUGUAGGAAGACAUGUCACUAUACUCCAGGAAAUACAAAAGAGGGUUGGGAAUCUCUGUCUGUAGGCCCCGUGCUCUGCGGGGCUCACUCUGCAUGCGUCUCCUUGUGCUUACAGUUAGGAAACCUUUGUGGUUGUGCUUCACGCAGUGUAUGAUUAUAUAUAUAUAUAGUUCUGUGUUUUAAUGUAUCUGGGCAUAUACAUAUAUAUGGAAAAUGUUAUUGUUUGGCUAGAACAUGCACAGUGCUUGUGAGGAAGAGGCCAGGAGAGGCUUGUAGACGCCACCUGUGACCUGAGAAGGGAGACCACCUGCCGAGGCUGGAGGUCUGAGCUUCCAAUAACGUUUCAGAAAUCAAUGCAAGCGAGUAAGACUCGAACCCGUGAUCAGCUCCAGUUUCCCAGGAAACAGUGGCACCAUCUCCCCUGCUCCUCCUCUGAGAUGCUGAAAUGCCAGCCAUUUAUGGUUUACCUGAAAGCUGGCUAACAAGGUCCUUAGUCUCUCCUCCCAAACUCUUUAAAAACUAGUUCAUGGCACCUCCCAAGACAGACAUCCCACCUCCCAUUUUUUAAAAACACGAUCCCACGUAGCCCAGGAUAACCUCCAAAUCCCAGCUGCUGCUCAUUGUAGCUUGUGCCCCACGGCUGGCAUACGUGUGUGUUCUUGUUCCUGUCAGCAGCACAUUGCGCUGAUGACGUCCAGCUCUAAGAGCCAUUCUGGGCAAGUGAAGGGCAGUGGCUAACAGCUGUUGUCGGUCCAGCAGUGGCUGGGUUAAACUUUCUACUCUUUUUUGGUUUUAUGGCCAACCUCAAGAGGUCUCCUUACUUUACAAUUCAUAAUUAUUAGCAUUCCCUUAAAAAUCUCGUUCAGUUUUAGGUUUUGUUUUGACAGAUAGAAUAAAGUUUAAGUGACUGCCCAUGGCCUGAUUGGUCAGAGGUUUGGGUCUAAAAAUCUGCAGUUUGCACCAUAUGCCAGCGUCCCAGCCUUUGAGUUAGUCUGAAGUGGACUAAAGGAGUUGUCUACCAAAGUUAACAACAGGAGUUACUUUCAAGACAAAUAGAUAGUAAUUCUCCUCCAGAUGACUAAGAUCAUAAUAAUAUGAUAUUAAAUAUUAACAAUACAAAAUAAGAGGCACUGUGGCCCUAGCGUAAUAUGGGUCACUGUGUCAGUUUUCCUGGGGAUAGCAGUCAUUAGGCUUCAUAUGACUUAGGGGAGAUCUUUUUAGAAAAUAAGAACUAUUGUUUGGAUAAAGUCAAUUGUUAGGCUUUAAACAUCAAAAAUAUUUAGGUCCUUAUAAGUAAAAGCACGUUUUUCUUGUUGGCAGAAUGAAAAUUACAGUGUAGCAUAUAGGAGCAGAGUGUUAAUAUACAAAAUACUUUCUGUGGGGAAUGGGCAGGCAGGGAAUGAUGCUUACGGUUAGAGAUUGUAUUGGUGGAAACGCUGCAGUGAAAUAAACUCCAAAAGUAAUUUUGCUGCAUCAACCCCACAACUUUGCGGGAGACUCCCUGCUACUUUCUGCAGCUGUCAAUGGGAGAAAUCAUGAAUCGACUUCUGCCUACUGGUCCUUCCCAAAUAAAGUGUCAUGGCUUAAGUGUUGAAAAUGAGCUGAGUUUGUGUCUGGCUGGAAACAAAGCAUUUAUUUGUAUCUGAGUGGUAUUUCCUAGGCAUAUAAAGUUCUAGAAUUCUUGCUAAACAUUAAAUGUCCCAAAGAGUUCGUGCAGCAAUUAUUUCCUGACAUUGUGGGAAGGUCCUCCAUCCACACCUGCAGAAAACAGCCAAGGCCUGUAAGGAAGUUCUUGCCUGUCCUCAGGUGUGAGUAGAAAUGAUGUGCCCAGUGCCUCCUUACACGUUCCCAGACUCCCCUGGCUGCCUGAACCUGGAAGAGUACUGAACUCUAUGUGGACUGUUCUUUCCUGUGUGUGUACAUAUGUGACAAAGGUUACUGGCUGAACAAAGUGACAAUUAGAAGAAUUACAACAUAUACUCAAAUAAAGAUUAUGUUUAUGUGGUCUCUCAAAA